GACGAACGCUGGCGGCGUGCUUAACACAUGCAAGUCGAACGGUGAAGCGCCUUCCUUUUUGGUGGGUGUGGAUGAGUGGCGAACGGGUGAGUAACACGUGAGUAACCUGCCCCCUUCUUCUGGAUAACCGCAUGAAAGUGUGGCUAAUACGGGAUAUUCUGGGUCUGUCGCAUGAUGGGUCUGGGAAAGAUAUUGUUUCGGUGGGGGAUGGGCUCGCGGCCUAUCAGCUUGUUGGUGGGGUGAUGGCCUACCAAGGCGGUGACGGGUAGCCGGCCUGAGAGGGUGGACGGUCACACUGGGACUGAGACACGGCCCGGACUCCUACGGGAGGCAGCAGUGGGGAAUAUUGCACAAUGGGCGCAAGCCUGAUGCAGCGACGCCGCGUGAGGGAUGGAGGCCUUCGGGUUGUGAACCUCUUUCGCCAGUGAAGCAGGCCUGCCUCGUUUGUGAGUGGGUUGACGGUAGCUGGAUAAGAAGCGCCGGCUAACUACGUG
rnacentral:rRNA from 1 species